AGAGUUUGAUCCUGGCUCAGGAUGAACGCUGGCGGCGUGCUUAACACAUGCAAGUCGAACGAAGCACUUUACCGGAUUUCUUCGGGAUGAAAGUUUUGUGACUGAGUGGCGGACGGGUGAGUAACGCGUGGGUAACCUGCCUCAUACAGGGGGAUAACAGUUAGAAAUGACUGCUAAUACCGCAUAAGACCACAGGAUUGCAUGAUCCGGUGGUAAAAACUCCGGUGGUAUGAGAUGGACCCGCGUCUGAUUAGGUAGUUGGUGGGGUAACGGCUCACCAAGCCGACGAUCAGUAGCCGACCUGAGAGGGUGACCGGCCACAUUGGGACUGAGACACGGCCCAAACUCCUACGGGAGGCAGCAGUGGGGAAUAUUGCACAAUGGGGGAAACCCUGAUGCAGCGACGCCGCGUGAGCGAUGAAGUAUUUCGGUAUGUAAAGCUCUAUCAGCAGGGAAGAAAAUGACGGUACCUGACUAAGAAGCACCGGCUAAAUACGUGCCAGCAGCCGCGGU
rnacentral:rRNA from 1 species